UAUCUACAGGCUUAACACAUGCAAGUCGAGGGGCAGCAUGGUCUUAUCUUGCUAAGACUGAUGGCGACCGGCGCACGGGUGAGUAACACGUAUCCAACCUGCCGUCUACUCUUGGACAGCCUUCUGAAAGGAAGAUUAAUACAAGAUGGCAUCAUGAGUCCGCAUGUUCACAUGAUUAAAGGUAUUCCGGUAGACGAUGGGGAUGCGUUCCAUUAGAUAGUAGGCGGGGUAACGGCCCACCUAGUCUUCGAUGGAUAGGGGUUCUGAGAGGAAGGUCCCCCACAUUGGAACUGAGACACGGUCCAAACUCCUACGGGAGGCAGCAGUGAGGAAUAUUGGUCAAUGGGCGAGAGCCUGAACCAGCCAAGUAGCGUGAAGGAUGACUGCCCUAUGGGUUGUAAACUUCUUUUAUAAAGGAAUAAAGUCGGGUAUGGAUACCCGUUUGCAUGUACUUUAUGAAUAAGGAUCGGCUAACUCCGUGCCAGCAGCCGCGGUAAUACGGAGGAUCCGAGCGUUAUCCGGAUUUAUUGGGUUUAAAGGGAGCGUAGAUGGAUGUUUAAGUCAGUUGUGAAAGUUUGCGGCUCAACCGUAAAAUUGCAGUUGAUACUGGAUAUCUUGAGUGCAGUUGAGGCAGGCGGAAUUCGUGGUGUAGCGGUGAAAUGCUUAGAUAUCACGAAGAACUCCGAUUGCGAAGGCAGCCUGCUAAGCUGCAACUGACAUUGAGGCUCGAAAGUGUGGGUAUCAAACAGGAUUAGAUACCCUGGUAGUCCACACGGUAAACGAUGAAUACUCGCUGUUUGCGAUAUACUGCAAGCGGCCAAGCGAAAGCGUUAAGUAUUCCACCUGGGGAGUACGCCGGCAACGGUGAAACUCAAAGGAAUUGACGGGGGCCCGCACAAGCGGAGGAACAUGUGGUUUAAUUCGAUGAUACGCGAGGAACCUUACCCGGGCUUAAAUUGCAGAUGAAUUACGGUGAAAGCCGUAAGCCGCAAGGCAUCUGUGAAGGUGCUGCAUGGUUGUCGUCAGCUCGUGCCGUGAGGUGUCGGCUUAAGUGCCAUAACGAGCGCAACCCUUGUUGUCAGUUACUAACAGGUUCCGCUGAGGACUCUGACAAGACUGCCAUCGUAAGAUGUGAGGAAGGUGGGGAUGACGUCAAAUCAGCACGGCCCUUACGUCCGGGGCUACACACGUGUUACAAUGGGGGGUACAGAGGGCCGCUACCACGCGAGUGGAUGCCAAUCCCCAAAACCUCUCUCAGUUCGGACUGGAGUCUGCAACCCGACUCCACGAAGCUGGAUUCGCUAGUAAUCGCGCAUCAGCCACGGCGCGGUGAAUACGUUCCCGGGCCUUGUACACACCGCCCGUCAAGCCAUGGGAGCCGGGGGUACCUGAAGUGCGUAACCGCGAGGAGCGCCCUAGGGUAAAACUGGUGACUGGGGCU
rnacentral:rRNA from 1 species